UAGCCUAGUGGUUAAGGCCUUGGAUCGCCAAUCCGGAAACGGCGGGUUCGAUUCCCGU
rnacentral:tRNA from 1 species